rnacentral:rRNA from 1 species
UACGGAGGGGACUAGCGUUGUUCGGAAUUACUGGGCGUAAAGCGCACGUAGGCGGAUUUGUAAGUCAGGGGUGAAAUCCCGGGGCUCAACCUCGGAACUGCCUUUGAUACUGCAAAUCUCGAGUCCGAAAGAGGUGAGUGGAAUUCCUGGUGUAGCAGUGAAAUGCGUAGAUAUCAGGAGGAACACCGAUGGCGAAGGCAGGUCUCUGGGCUGACACUGACGCUCAUGCACGAAAGCGUGGGGAGCAAACAGG